UCGAGGACGGUCCUUGUGAGCGUCUCCUGCAAGAAAAGAAACAUAGUACUGUUAAGUCAAAAUUUCGGCAGCAGGUCCCCUGCACAGGGAGGUUUCCAAAACCUGCAACAAAGAAAACGGCACGAUGGCCGACAACCACAUUCUCACCAAAGAGACGGCAGGAUGGCCAACAACCACAAUCUCACCAAGAGAUGGCACGAUGGCCAACAAAUACAUCCACACCAAAGAAACGGCACGACGGCCAACAACCACAUCCUAAUUUCUGAAAACAAAUCCUACCACCUCUCUAGAC
rnacentral:lncRNA from 1 species